rnacentral:rRNA from 1 species
UACGAAGGGGGCGAGCGUUGUUCGGAUUUACUGGGCGUAAAGGGCGCGCAGGCGGCGCAUUUUGUCAGGCGUGAAAGCCCCGGGCUUAACCUGGGAACUGCGUUUGAUACGGAUGGGCUAGAGUUCGGGAGAGGAGAGUGGAAUUCCCAGUGUAGAGGUGAAAUUCGUAGAUAUUGGGAAGAACACCGGUGGCGAAGGCGGCUCUCUGGACCGAGACUGACGCUGAGGAGCGAAAGCGUGGGGAGCGAACAGG